UGUGCCUACGGGGGGCAGCAGUGAGGAAUAUUGGUCAAUGGGCGGGAGCCUGAACCAGCCAAGACGCGUGAGGGAAGAAGGUACAGCGUAUCGUAAACCUCUUUUGUCAGGGAACAAAGGCGGGGACUAGUCCCCGGAUGAGGGUACCUGAAGAAAAAGCAUCGGCUAACUCCGUGCCAGCAGCCGCGGUAAUACGUAGGUGGCGAGCGUUAUCCGGAAUGAUUGGGCGUAAAGGGUGCGUAGGCGGCCUGCUAAGUCUGGAGUGAAAGGUACCGGCUCAACCGGUACAGGCUCUGGAAACUGGG
rnacentral:rRNA from 1 species